AUUGAACGCUGGCGGCAUGCCUUACACAUGCAAGUCGAACGGCAGCGCGGGGCAACCUGGCGGCGAGUGGCGAACGGGUGAGUAACAUAUCGGAACAUACCCAAGAGUGGGGAUAACGUAGCGAAAGUUACGCUAAUACCGCAUACGCACUAAGGUGGAAAGUGGGGGAUUCGCAAGAACCUCAUGCUCAUGGAGUGGCCGAUAUCUGAUUAGCUAGUUGGUGAGGUAAAGGCUCACCAAGGCGACGAUCAGUAGCUGGUUUGAGAGAACGACCAGCCACACUGGAACUGAGACACGGUCCAGACUCCUACGGGAGGCAGCAGUGGGGAAUUUUGGACAAUGGGGGCAACCCUGAUCCAGCAAUGCCGCGUGAGUGAAGAAGGCCUGGUGUAAG
rnacentral:rRNA from 1 species